GAGAACCUGGAGCACUACUAUAGGAAAAAGAUGAAUAGGUUUGCAAGACUCCAGGCUGGAAGCCAGAAUUUAUUUUAGCUGAUGGAUUCUCUCCUAUGAUGUAGCUGAAAGGCCAACCAAGAAGUGGCUGGGACCUUGGUGAUGUGAGACCCAACUAAUACACAGAUAAUUAUUGCUUGGAUUCUUGCAAAGAAGGAAAAGCCCAGUCCAGAGAGAUCCCUCCAUUUCUACCAAGACUCUAUUUCCCACUUGCUAGAAAGAGCCAUAUAAACAGGAACAAAGCUUGCUAUGAAACCAACAAACAAAAAUCGACAAGAGAAUGCAGCGCCUAUGUUUUUUAUACCUGUAUUGCAAAAAGUGGAAAAACUGAAAGCGAUGGCAAUCUGUAUACGUGGGAUAGCUCUGCACAGAAAAACUCUUCCACUUCUGAUUCUGGAAAUUAUGGAGAGCUCCAUUUUCUUGAUAUGUGACUAUGCUGAGUACAGGCAAAUAAAAGAGGGCAGAAAGAUUUGAGUGGCAAAUGCAUUUUUUUUAAAUGUGG
rnacentral:lncRNA from 1 species